UAAGAGGAAGUAAAAGUCGUAACAAGGUCUCCGUUGGUGAACCAGCGGAGGGAUCAUUA
rnacentral:rRNA from 1 species